UUCCUCUUCCCUCCUUCCUUUUGUGGCAGAUUCCCUCAGUGAAAGAGGAACUUCAAAUCCUUUUCAAGGACCCAAACACCUGGACGACUGUACAACAAAACUUUAACCUCUACAUCCCACAUUUUAGGACGCAAGGGCUUCAUUCUUUGCUUUUUCCAGUGUUUCCUUCCUUCCCUUCUUCCACCCCCUUUUCUAAGAUGUCCAGCCCUUUCCCUCCUCCCCAACCGAGAGGCAUUGACUAUAGCCUGCCAACCUGUGGAGAGACUCAGUGCAAUAGCCAUGGUAACUGUGUUGUUCCCCUGGGUGGUGGUGCCAGUCUGGUGUGUGACUGUGAGCUGGGCUACCAGGGUGAAUUCUGCGAGGACACGGUCAAUGGGGCGUUAAGUUUACCGCUGACCCUGAGUGUCCUGGGCGUCGUCAUUGGGCUGCUGAUCCUGGCUUUCAUCCUUGCCAAGUUGCGACAAAGGCAAAAGAAGAAACGCAGGAGCAAUAUGACAGAAGAAUCAGGGUACAACAUUGCUGUGUAAUGAGGAGAAAUUUCCAUUAUAUCUGAGGUCAAUCAUGACAUUGUGGCCACUGACACUAUCAAGCCUCCGUAAGCUUUCCUCUGCAGCGAGCUUCCAGCACAGUUUAAGUGUGAAUCUGGCAAAAAUAGAAUCAGCUCUGUUUUUCUACCAUGGUCGGUGACUUUUUGACUUCUACUGUAGGACGUAUGCUCCAGCAUAUCAGAAACGCUAAUACUAAACUGAUGAACUGAACUUUUACUCUUGACUUGCUGAUUGGUCAGUCUGUUGUGUCCAACUGUGGGUGACACCCUGAUUACAUCGACUGUACAUACUGUUAAAACUCUACACACUGCCAGUCCAUUGUGAUUUGCCAAAGAGGAAAACAGAGAAAAAAUGCUUUUAUGGGUUAACAGAGACACAAAUUCAUUGCUAUAACUAUGUUUUUCACAUAUCAGCCAAUGAUGGAAAGUGACUUCAAUUGAUAUGCCCGGAUGAAUUAUUUCACUGAAAAACUACUGAAGAGAAACUUCAAAUCUCUCCAGAGCGCUCAGGUGGUACAUUUGGACAGGUAACAGACGACUGAAUUACAGUAUGUUUACAAGCACGUGUAUAAUGCCAGCACUUUUUAUUAAGCCAGAUUUUGAGCCUUUACCUGGAGAAUUAUUUAGACUGAUGAUGUAUGUAGCUGUGCUGUUGGCCAACUCUACAACAUCAUGCUUUCAGUGAUAAAAGUAAAAAAUUGGAAAAAAAAAAAAAAAAAAAUGUUUAGAUUUCCUGUAUAGUGCAAUGUAUUCAUCACCACCUACAAGUUUUGAACUUGCGAUUCACUGUUAGCUUAUAAUUAUACCGUUUAUUUCUGUAUUUUUGUUAUUAUUACUAUUUAGUGAUUAAGGAACUAUGGCAAAAAAUACACAAAAAUUGUAAUCUUCAGUCCCAAAAGUAGGUGCAACUAUUUCGGUGUUUUGGACCAUUUCUGUACAACAAAACUGCAAAAGCAAGUAUGUUUUAUGUAUGAAACGUAAUUGCGACCAGAUUAUAUUUUCUAUUAAUAUAAUGAAGAAAUGUUAAGUUUUGAUGCUGAAGAUAUCAGUAAGAUAUUCAUAGACAACAAAUUUGUUUUCUGCUCGAAUAUCCCGUCCUGUAGUACAAUAUCCACUUCUAGUGGCUAAAGCAUUAUUAAGCUUUUUUAUGGUUGUGUUUAGACACUCACAACACUUGGUUAAGGUUAGAGAAGGAUUGUGGUCUUGGUUUAAUACAGAAAAAGUUUACAAUGACUUCAGACAUAAUGUAUUCAUUUGCGUUUAACCAAAGCCAUGAUCUUUCCCUAAUCUUAAGCAAAGGCAAAACCUUACCACAGACGUAACUCUGGCCUGCUGCUUAAUGAAUGUAGCGCUUCAAUCUUUCAAAAAAUAUGCUGCCUCUGAACAAAAUCCAGCCAGCAAUUACAUUUUCGUUUGCAGUUUAGUUGUAUAGAAACAUAAUUUCUAGGAGACGGGCUGUGUGGCCGUUUUUUUGCGACUGUGCACACACUGGGUCUUCAGUCUGUUGUUCAAGGUAAUCUGCCAAAUGAAAUUUGAAACCCUGCAGGACAGAUGACUCGAAAAGUUUUGAGAGUAAAGAAGGUCAGAAUCAUCACAGAAAGUUUGCAAAAGCAGUUGUGUCUCUAGAUUUCCUCUCAGUUUUCUACAUUGUGCACUUUGAUGCUUGCUGUGUGUGUGUGUGUGUGUGUGUGUG